GCGUAUCCAAGAUUUCCGCAAGAUGGUGCACAAUUACAAAACAAUGUAUCUAUUUGAUCGGUUUGACUUUUAGGUUUUUAAUAUGAGCCAUUAAAUUUUAAAAAUUAUAGGUCCAAAACAUAUAAUGCUACUAGUUUUAAAUUUUAAUAUACACAUUUGAUUUAAUUAUAUAAAAAUUUUACAGUGCUAAUUAUUUUAGGAAUUUUCAAUGUAACACACUUGAAAAUUUUGAAAGACUAAAGGAAAAAAAACAAAAGAAUAAUUAGUUGAAACGCCAAAAGUGUAACCAAUAACCACUUAGAGAGGUGUUAGUAAAAGACAAGAUAGAUAUAAGAUUUAAAUUUAUAUCCUCACUUAGAGGGGUGCACCCAAUCAUCAUCGUAUUAUUAUAUGAUACUUUGAACAUGGGUUCACACAUCUAUAAUUAAAUAUUUUAUAAAAAAUAUAGCACUACUAUAUAUGAUCUAGAGGGGGGAGCAUGGGUUCACGUGAACCCACGGCACCCCCUCUAGAUACGCCCCUGUAUAUAAGGAGACCAAAUUUCCAUCCAUCUACCGAAGUGGGAUAUCUUAACAGUAGUACUAUUGUACACUCCUUAAAAUUAAUCAAGCCAGUAAAUUGAACCAGAUCACAUUUGAGUAAAGUGAGAAUAAAGCUUGAUCUAACACAUCCCAUGUAAAACUCCCUCCUGAUCCAUUUCCAACAUUAACAAUUAUCUGCCUUUUCAAUCUUUGAUCACAUAUAUAUACUAAUUUUUUGACACGUGUGUUGCAUGUGAUUAUCAAUUCAGAAAAUAUAUGUUAUAGUAAAUAGUAUUGCCUAUUUAGGCGAAGAGCUUAGCACAAAAUAAUAUUGCAGAUUCUUUUGUGAAUGUUCAAUGUGGAUUAUCAUUUAUAUCUUUUAUUCACGCAAACCUAUAUGAAGAUCGUCAAUGAAAAAUCUUAUUAGUUAAAUACAAUAAUGUAUAUAUUUAUUUCAAUUUGAUGAAGUUCAAUCAUAGUAGUCGUAUCUCACUAAUAUUACGUUAUAGAUGAUAUUUGUUGUGUAUUUUUCUUGUCAUCUAACCAGAUGUGCUUUGAACGUGUAUUCCACGUUAAACUCUUUAGAUGCCAUAUGAACAUGUGAAGAGAACAACUAUAUUUUAUCUUUUAGAACUAUUUUUUGUAUAUUAAUUUUUAUUUUAUCAGUUAAAACAUAAAAGAUGACGUUCUUGUUGCUGGCUCUCAUACUUGACUUCUCGAUUGACUGUGUAAAUAAAUCAAAGAUAGUUAUCUGACUGUCCAUAGUUAACUGAUCUUGUUUUUGGCUCUCAUAUUACACUUUUCGAUUGACCAAGUACAUAAAUCAAAGAUAGUUAUCUGACUGUCCAUAGUUAACUGAGAAAGAUUUUCUUUUUUUUACCAGAAAAACUAAAAUUAAAAUUAAAGAAUAUAUUAUAUGUGUGAAACCAUAUAUAUAAUCACCUAUUCAUCUUACACCCAAUAAAGAUAUAAUUCAUAUACUUGUAAAUUAUUUCAAUUUAUUCAACCAAGUAUGAUUCGUCAAAGGAAAAAUAACAACAGCAUGUUAUCACAUAUAUAGGGGCGGUGUAAUAAUAUGAAAAAUUAUUGGUCAAAAGUUAAUAUAAGGAAAGAUGAAAGAUAGAAAUAUAAUUAAUGUAACUAUGGAAUUCAUAAUAUUAUACCUAAUAAUGUAAAAAAGUGUGAACAACGUUUGCAAUAAUUAGUAAUAACUAAGAGAAUUUAUAAUGUUAUAGCUGAAGAAUUAACGUGCAAUAGCUGAAUUUCUAAUAAAUUUUAUACGUACAUAAAUAAAUAGGACUUUUAAUUAGUGUUACUAUUUUUUUUAGUUAUUAGAUUUUUAUUUAGUGUAGGGACUAAAUGUAAAUGUUUAUUCCAUAUUACUGAAUAUAAAAUUUAUUUUGUAAAUAAUUAAUUUUUAAUGAUUCAUAUAUAUUCACAUAUUUUCACAUUUGUUGUGAGUGUUUUUUCUUUUAAAAUAAAAAUAACUCGAAAUAUUUUAAAAUAAUAUAUUUUGAAGUUAGAAGACCUUGUUAACUUGAUAAUACAUUUGUGACAUAUAUAAUACUUUAAUUUAAAUAAAAAUACCUACCCAAAUACAAAUAUAUAUUUGCAUUAAUGAACAUAUUUAUCUUAUAAUAUUAUAUAUCAAAUAAAAAAUAAUAAUUAAAUUAAUACAAACUUCAACUUGCGUUAUUACAAGUCAUAUGAACUUCUCUUCGUCAAAAAUACUUAUAUAUCAAGAAAUAGUAAAUAAGUAAAACAAAAGGACAAUGUUUAUAUAGUAAUAAUUAUUUUGAAGCAAAUUUCUUGACAAUCUCAAUCACAUAAGUAGCAUUGAUAAAUAAAUUCAUUCUUUUGUCUUGAGCAUUAAAAAAAAACAAAUCAUGAAAAUUCAUUAAAUUUUGGAAAAAAAAUAUUCAGAAGCAUAUAUUACAUCACAAGAGAAAUUGUUAACAAAAACAAAUGAAAUUAGACUACAUCAUGUUAACUUUAUAUAUUGGAACAUUACAUACUAAUGUAUAUAUUAAGCGAAAAAAUAAUAUUUUAUAAUUAAAAUUAUUUUCCUCAAGUACUCGAAGUUAUGGAAUAUACCCUAUUAGGAUAGAAUGAUUUACUUCAUCAGAAUAGUGCCCCAUAAUCCGCUAAACUUCGAACUCACUCGACAUCAAUAAAUCAAAAAAAUAAUUCUAAAUGCAAGAAGAAGAAGAGUAGAAGAUUUAAAAAAUUAGUGGUUGAAAAAUGAGAGGAAGCUCCUCUAUUUAUAGUCAACAAAGAGUAGUAUGACCAAGUGUUUUUUGUGUCUUAUCUGAAAAGUCAUAACCUUUUCGAGAAGUCACAAACCUUUAGAAAAGUCAAAACUUAUUGAAAAAGUCACAAUUCAUUGGAAAAGACACAACUCAUCGAAAAAUCACAACCCUUUGAAAAAAGUCACAACUUAUCGGAAAAGUCAUAACUCAUCGAAAAAUCCACAACCUAAGUUAGGGAUAUUAUAGUAAUUUAACAUUCAAGUUAGGAGUUCAUGAUUUUAAA
rnacentral:lncRNA from 1 species